rfam:Chaetomium thermophilum var. thermophilum strain DSM 1495 mitochondrion, complete genome.
AUACAAGUAUAUAAAGAGACUACUACAGACCACCUUCGCUAUGUAUUAAAGAGAUGCAUUGAGAUUAUGUUUUUUAUAAAAUUGACGUAUGAAACAUAUAAACUCUUAGAGAAAUUAUUUAAUAAACGAAGUGAAUUGAAAUAUCUAAUUAACUUCAGGAAAAGAAAUCAAACGAGAUUCUAUGAUUAGUGUGAACUAAAAUAGAGUAGCCUAUAUAAAUAAGUAAAAUGGCUUCGAAGCUGUUUGAAUUUUAUGGGGAACCUUCCUCAAAGGCUAAAUAUAAUACAUAAGCGAUAGAGAAAAGUACCGUGAGGGAAAGUAGUAAAUAUGGAAGUAGUAGUUUUAUAAGCAGCUCAAGCUUAUAAUAAAAGGCGAGAGCGUACCUUUUGCAUAAUGGGUUGCCGAGUUAACUUUAGAUGCGAGCGAAAAAUAUAAAUAUAUUUAUAUAUAUGAUAAUAUAUAAUUAUACUGGGCAAUAGACUUACGUUCAAAAGUUGAGCCCGCUUUUUUCUACUUCGUUCGUAAUAAAAGAGAAAAAGCAAAAUAAUAUAUAUUACAUUGUGUAUGUGUUGUGUGUGUGUAGUAUGGGGUGUUUAUAUACACUAGACUAGACUACACUACAUUACUACAUUACACAUUAAAUAUAUAUUAUGUUAUGUUAUAUAACAUAAUAUAAUAUAUAUUAAUAUAAAUAUAUAAUAUAUAUAUGCGUAGUUAAACCAAUCAUUAAAAUAAUGAAUAGUGUCUAAAGUUAGACCCGAAGCCUGGUGAUUUUACCAUAGUCAGGAUUAUAAAAGUCCGAACGGGUUAUCGUUGCAAAGAUAUCCGAAGAACUAUGGUAGGUAAGUGAAAGACAAAACUGACUAGGAUAGCUGGUUUUCUGCGAAACCUAUAAUAGUAGGCAGUUUAAGUAACAUCUUAGUAGGUACAGAACUUAAUCUCAUACAAAAUGUAAAUUAUUCAUAUAAUUUUUAUAUGAAAUACAUUUUUAUUGUAUACAUCGGGGGAUCGUGAAGAUUUUAUCGGUGAGUAUGUAGACUCGGAAUGACAAAGAUGGAUCUUGAACUAUCGGACAUAGAGUGAUAAGGUUGUAUGUCAAAAGGGAAACAGCCCAGAACAAAGAAGUUAAGGUUCCAAAAUUAUUAUUGAGUGAAAUUAAGAGAGUUUCUAUAUAAGUCGACAAGAAGAUAGGCCUGGAAGCAGCCAUAAUUUUAAGACCUCGUAACAGAGCACUUGUUAAAUCUUAGAAGCAUCGAAAAUUUAUCGGAUCUAAAUAAUAUACCGAAACUUUGUCCAUAAAUAACAUUAAAAUAUUAAUGUUAUUUGGUGGGGUAGCAGAACGUUGAGUUAAUCUUGGACUUUUUUUUUUUAAAAAAAAUUAUAAGAUAACUCAAUUGAUAAUGGCAACAUGAGUAACAACAAAGAAGGGUUAAUAACCCUCUCGCCUAAAGCUUAUGGAAACGAUGGGAAAAGUAACGGCCUCUAAGUUUACGGUCUUAAGAUCGUAGCGAUGAGAAAAUCUUAUUACUUUUAAGGACAACAUUUUUUUUAAGUGAAAAAAUGUGCUGGAAAAUUAAGUAAUUUAAAACCGUACCUAGAGACUGACACUAGUAAGCUAGUAGAGAAUACGAAGGCGUGAGACAACAAUCAUAAAGGAACUCGGCAAACUAACUACCGUAACUUAGGGAUGUUUGUCCUCCAGUAAUCUUAAGAAGAUUAACUGGUAAUAAUUUGGGAAAAUUUCAGAAAUUACUUCUUU